rnacentral:tRNA from 1 species
GCUCACGUAGCUCAAACGGUAGAGCGCAUCCUUGGUAAGGAUGAGGUAACCGGUUCAAUCCCGGUCGUGAGCUCCA